GACCCUGAUGGGGACCCGUAGGGUAAAGGUUUUGUUUUUGUUUUUUUUUACGGAAAAGGUUGUGGUUAGGCCCCUUGGAAAGUUGCGACAAAACUCGAGUUAGACAAGGAAGGUCGGAACUAAGUGGCCACAGCAACAAUGCACCAGCAAGCAGGGAGCGUGAUAGGAAGAGCUAAAGAGGAAUCGGGAAACCCUGGAGAUGGGUUUCACCAUGUUUCCCAGCCUUGUCUCAAACUCCUGACCUCAAGUGAUCCGCCGUCUUGGGUCUUCGAAAGUGCUGGGACAGCAGGAGUGAGCCACCGCAUCUGGCCCGGAAAGUGUUUUGGAGCGUAGAAAAAUGCAAAUUAUAGGGCUGCCUUCAAGGAUCCCGAAGGACCCACAGAUUUGCCGCAUCAGGCUCCUAUGCACGCCGAAAUGCCCAGGAGGAUUGACGAGAUUGAGGUCAAGAUCGUGGCCCAGUGUGUGGCGCUCCAAGCCAGCUCUUCCCCUUUCAAAACCAGAAAAGCCGCAUGUUUAGAUCGCUCUAGGAGAUUCAUCUCCAUUACGAUACAGGAUAUGGGCUGUUUGAAAACUAUUUCAUCAUCUUUAUCAUCAUCAUUCAGUUCAGCCACUUGAGAUUUUCGCCUCUCCAAAAAUGUUGGUGUACAAACUGGUGUGGGGCCCUGGAUUCAACAAGUAAAGAUUAUAAUACAUAAAUGUAAAACAUGAUUAUGACUUUACCCAAAAAUAUCAUCUCUCCUCUAUUUUUACAAGUUGUGCCCCAUUAUUUUAGCUCUGUUACCAUCUUUUGGUGAUACUAUUGCAAAGAAUAAAGAACUUAGAUGCUUAUCAAACUUGGUACAGAAAUUCACAAUUAACAAAUAUAGCAUGUUCCAUUAUAAGGUUUUAGGCAGAAAAUUGCUAAAUCAACAAUAAAGAUCUACCAAAUGUCACAAUAUUUAAUUUGAAAUCUUAAAAUGAGAGUAGCAGAAACUGCUUCUCCUCCUUCAAAUUAUUUCUAUAAUAUCUGGUGUCUGGAGUAUUGAAAACCAUUUUACCUGGCUAUCCACAGUCUUCUCAGGAGUGUCAAGAGUACCUGAAACUUUUUUCUUCUUCUUACGUAAAACCUUAAAAUAAAUUUUAAAACACAUCAAUUUGAAUAUUGAUCAGCUACAGUAGUCUUGAAUAUGUUUUCCUACUUAUCCUUCUCUAAUAUCUUGCAUGUAAAAUGAUAAAAAAAAUUUUACCUGGCCUUUUGUAGACGUCUGACGAUUAGUUUUUGAAAUACUUUCCGUUUUCUGUAAAAUCUUUAAUAAAGAAGUUAGAAAUUGA
rnacentral:lncRNA from 1 species